ACGGAAGGCAGCAGUGAGGAAUAUUGGUCAAUGGAGGCAACUCUGAACCAGCCAUCUCGCGUGAAGGAAUACGGCCCUACGGGUCUUAAACUUCUUUUAUAGGGGGAUAAAGUGAGAUAUGUAUAUCUUUUUGUAGGUACCCUAUGAAUAAGCAUCGGCUAACUCCGUGCCAGCAGCCGCGGUAAUACGGAGGAUGCGAGCGUUAUCCGGAUUUAUUGGGUUUAAAGGGUGCGUAGGCGGAUGAUUAAGUCUGUGGUGAAAGCGUGCGGCUCAACCGUACCGAGCCAUGGAAACUGGUUGUCUUGAGUGUAAACGAGGUAGGCGGAAUGUGACAUGUAGCGGUGAAAUGCUUAGAUAUGUCACAGAACUCCGAUUGCGAAGGCAGCUUACCAGCAUACAACUGACGCUGAGGCACGAAAGCGUGGGUAUCAAACAGGAUUAGAUACCCUGGUA
rnacentral:rRNA from 1 species